AGAUGGGCAUGCGUAGGAUUAGCUAGUUGGUGAGGUAACGGCUCACCAAGGCGACGAUCCUUAGGGGUUCUGAGAGGAUAAUCCCCCACACUGGUACUGAGACACGGACCAGACUCCUACGGGAGGCAGCAGUGAGGAAUAUUGGUCAAUGGGCGCGAGCCUGAACCAGCCAUCCCGCGUGCAGGAUGACGGCCCUAUGGGUUGUAAACUGCUUUUUACUCCAAGAAACCUGACUACGUGUAGUCAGUUGCCGGUAGAGUAGGAAUAAGCAUCGGCUAACUCCGUGCCAGCAGCCGCGGUAAUACGGAGGAUGCAAGCGUUAUCCGGAUUCAUUGGGUUUAAAGGGUGCGCAGGUGGGCUUGUAAGUCAGUGGUGAAAUACUGCCGCCUAACGGUAGAAUUGCCAUUGAUACUGUGAGUCUUGAGUAUGGUUGAGGUAGGUGGAAUGUGCAGUGUAGCGGUGAAAUGCAUAGAUAUUGCACAGAACUCCGAUUGCGAAGGCAGCUUACUAAGCCAUUACUGACGCUGAGGCACGAAAGCGUGGGUAGCGAACAGGAUUAGAUACCCUGGUAGUCCACGCCAUAAACGAUGUUCACUCGCUGUUUGCGAUACACAGCAAGCGGCUGAGCGA
rnacentral:rRNA from 1 species